UGGGGAAUAUUGGACAAUGGGCGCAAGCCUGAUCCAGCCAUGCCGCGUGAGUGAUGAAGGCCCUAGGGUUGUAAAGCUCUUUCACCGGUGAAGAUAAUGACGGUAACCGGAGAAGAAGCCCCGGCUAACUUCGUGCCAGCAGCCGCGGUAAUACGAAGGGGGCUAGCGUUGUUCGGAUUUACUGGGCGUAAAGCGCACGUAGGCGGACUUUUAAGUCAGGGGUGAAAUCCCGGGGCUCAACCCCGGAACUGCCUUUGAUACUGGAAGUCUUGAGUAUGGUAGAGGUGAGUGGAAUUCCGAGUGUAGAGGUGAAAUUCGUAAAUAUUCGGAGGAACACCAGUGGCGAAGGCGGCUCACUGGACCAUUACUGACGCUGAGGUGCGAAAGCGUGGGGAGCAAACAGG
rnacentral:rRNA from 1 species